GUGCUGAAAGCAUCUAAGCACGAAACUUGCCCCGAGAUGAGUUCUCCCUGAGACUUAGAGUCUCCUGAAGGAACGUUGAAGACGACGACGUUGAUAGGCCGGGUGUGUAAGCGCAGCGAUGCGUUGAGCUAACCGGUACUAAUGAACCGUGAGGCUUAACCUU
rnacentral:rRNA from 1 species